UAGAUACAUAGCACAGAAUAAAGCAUGAAAAAGAGCAUAUAUUAAAGUGAGAAAACCAGUAUAUUCUCAGUCAAAUGUGUCUACGGAACAAAUACUUAAGAGCUAGAACAAACAACAACCUGGUGAGUAUACAUAUUAAAAACAUUUAGACAUGAAACUAAAUAACAUAUCAAAUCAAUUUGUUGAAUUUAGGGUUAAUUACCCGUAAAAUCACAAAGUUUUCCCAAAUUAAUAAUAAUGGCACAACCCUCUAAUAAUAUGACAAAUUGAGACGCAAAGUUACAAUGACACUAACAAACAUAGCACAUGUGUUCAAAUUUCUGUUAAUUCCUUGUGUAAAUGAGAUACUAAAGCAUUUGAAAAGACCAAUAAAAGAAUGGUAUGUAAUUUAACAUCUCUUUCUAAGCUACUAAAGAUUGGAUAAAAUCAAGCAUGUGUGUAUCUGUUUGAUCAAAAACUUCAUCUUUGAUUACUUAGGACUUUAAAGUUAUAAUAGUUUAGUUUUUAAGGAACUUACUAAAAAUAUUUAUCUUUUUAUUUUUAAAGAGAGGAAGAUUGGAUGAAAUCUAGCAUGCGUGUAUCUGUUUGAUCAGAAAUUUCAUCUUUGAUUACUUAUGAAGUUUUCUUUAAAGUUUUAAUAGUUUAGUUUUUAAAGAACUUUCUAAAAAUAUUUAU